rnacentral:rRNA from 1 species
AACGAACGCUGGCGGCGUGCCUAACACAUGCAAGUCGAACGGGAUAUAAGAGCUUGCUCUUAAAUUUAGUGGCGCACGGGUGAGUAACGCGUAGAUAAUCUGCCUGACGAUCUGGGAUAACACUUCGAAAGAGGUGCUAAUACCGGAUAAGCCCACGGGUUCUUUGGAAUCUGCGGGAAAAGGGGGGGACCUUUUGGCCUUCUGUCGUCAGAUGAGUCUGCGUACCAUUAGCUAGUUGGUAGGGUAAAGGCCUACCAAGGCGACGAUGGUUAGCUGGUCUGAGAGGAUGAUCAGCCAGACUGGAACUGAGACACGGUCCAGACUCCUAGGGGAGGCAGCAGUGGGGAAUUUUGCGCAAUGGGCGAAAGCCUGACGCAGCAACGCCGCGUGAGUGAUGAAGGCUUUCGGGUCGUAAAGCUCUGUCGAGGGGAAAGAAGUGUAUUGUGGUUAAUACCCGCGAUACUUGACGGUACCCCUAAAGGAAGCACCGGCUAACUCCGUGCCAGCAGCCGCCGUAAAAC